UGCAGUCAAAUGAGAAAUGUUUUUGAUUUUUGCAUUCAGAAAAUUUGUUGGACUCCUUACUGUAAUUUCUUUUUAAAAAUGUCCCCAUCAUAUGUUUCUCCUUCCUCCAUGAUUUUUCUAGACAUCUUCAAGGAAACAUCUAGAAUCUUCUUUCAGACAGCUGGAAAGGGAAAAGGCUCUUCUUCAGCAUAAGAAUGCAGAAUACCAGCGGAAAGCAGAGCACGAAGCAGAUAGAAAACGUAAUCUAGAAAACGAUGUGAACAGUUUAAAGGAUCAACUCGAGGAUAUGAAAAAGAGGAAUCAAAACUCCCAAAUAUCAAAUGAAAA